GGGCCCGUAGCUCAGUGGUAGAGCGGUCGGCUCAUAACCGAUUGGUCGCAGGUUCGAUCCCUGCCGGGCCCACCA
rnacentral:tRNA from 1 species